rnacentral:rRNA from 1 species
UAAGUAAUCCACCUGGGGAGUACGAUCGCAAGGUUGAAACUCAAAGGAAUUGACGGGGGCCUACAACUAGUGGUGGAGCAUGUGGUUUAAUGCGAUGAUCCGCGCAAAACCUUACCAACCCUUGAAUAAACUUUACUUAACUAUUUUUUCAUAUUAAGAUGAAAUUAUUUUAUAUUAAGUUAACAGGUGUUGCACGACUGUCGUCAGCUCGUGUCGUGAGAAGUUGGGUUAAGUCCCGCAAAGA